AAUUAAACCCCAGAAAUAGAAUGUUUCAGAAACUGGAGAGGAAGAGUCAGACCGACAGAUUCAGUCAGAAAAAGCGAGCAGAAGAGGAGGUUUCCUUCUCCGACUCUUCUUUAUCGGCUUCUUCUUCUUCUUCUUCUUGUUAUUCUUCUUCUUCCUCCUGAUCAUCUUCUUCACUGACUGAAAUACAUAUCAUUGAGUAAAAAAAAUGGGGAAAGAGAAAGACCAGAAAGAGAAGAAGAUGUUUGUAGUUGGAGUCUGGAGCUUUGCUAAAGAGGUUAAACUGUUGUUAACUGCACUUUUGAUCCUCUGUACUUUUGCCACGGUUCUUCAGUUCCUUCCUUCUCGUUUCACCAUUUCCACCUCCGAUCUCGGCGUCUGUAUCUCCAGGGUCAUCUCCCCCCCCAACACCACCACCACCCAACUUGCCCCACCACCCAUUGCUACUUCCUCAUCAGCACUUGCUUCCCUACUGGCCCCGCUUCCUUCUUUUCCGCCACCGCCACCUUCUAUGGCUCCGCCUCCUCUUCUCCAAGAAGAUCGGACGCUCGAAAAUGGCGUCAUCAAGCGGGGCUUCAAUCCUUACGGUGCGGCCGCCUACAGUUUCGUCACCAUGGGGGCUUACAGAGGAGGCCUCAACACCUUUGCCAUUAUCGGCUUAGCUUCCAAGCCCCUCCACCUCUACGCCAAGCCGACAUAUCAGUGCCAGUGGGUCCCCCACCUUAACUCCUCCAAGCCCAUCUCCGCUGUCGGCUACAAGAUCCUCCCUGACUGGGGCUACGGCCGCGUCUACUCCGUCGUCGUCGUCAACUGUACCUUCUCACAACCCAUCAACACCGAGAACUCCGGCGGAACAUUGCUCAUCCACGCCUCCACCUCCGGCGGCGGUGACCGCAACUUCAACGUGACGGACACCAUCCAGGCCUUGACAGAGUCUCCCGGGUCCUUGAGUCUUUCUCUGUUUACUUCAAAGCCCAAGUACGAUUAUCUGUAUUGCGGGUCGCCCUUGUACGGGAAUCUGAGUCCCCAGAGAGUAAGGGAGUGGAUAGCGUACCAUGUGAGAUUGUUCGGGGAGAGAUCGCAUUUUGUGAUUUACGACGCGGGUGGGAUUCACGAGGAGGUUUUGGAGGUGUUGAGGCCGUGGAUGGAGAAGGGCUUCGUGACGUUGCAAGAUAUAAAGGAGCAGGAGAGGUUCGACGGAUAUUAUCACAACCAGUUCAUGGUGGUGAAUGAUUGCUUGCACAGGUACAAGUUUAUGACCAAGUGGAUGUUCUUCUUUGAUGUGGAUGAAUAUAUCUAUGUGCCUCCCAAAAGCACCAUCAAGACGGUGCUCGAUUCGUUUUCCGGAUACACCCAGUUCACCAUUGAGCAGAUGCCCAUGAGCAGUAAGCUCUGCCUCUCCGAACCUGCCGGCAGAACCUACAGGAGAUGGGGUUUUGAGAAGCUUGUGUAUAGAGAUGUGAAGAAAGGGAUUAGGAGGGACCGCAAAUACGCCAUCCAACCGCGCAAUGUAUAUGCCACGGGGGUUCACAUGUCGCAAAACUUUGCUGGUAAAACAACCUACAAAACGAAUGGACGGAUCAAAUACUUCCAUUACCAUGGAACCAUCGCGGUACGACGUGAACCAUGCAGGAACCUCAUCAACUCGACAGGGAUCACUUUCGACAAAACCCCUUAUGUUAUGGACACCACAAUGAGAGAUGCUGCUGGGUUUGUGAAGAAGUUCGAGCUAAAAAUGAUUGGAUCCAGGUUACAGAGGACAAGACAGUGACACCAUUCUUUUUUUUUUCCCCCUUCAAACUUUUGUACUAUUCUCUCUGUUUUUUUUUUUUUUUUGGAGGUUACAUUAAAAGAAACUGAUUAGGUGGUUUCUUUUUUGUAAGAUAGCUUAUGAGAUACGGGUAUAAAUGAGCUAGCAUGUAUGAGGGACAGAAGAAAAGAGCAUAUAUAUUAGAGGGAGAAUGGUCACCGUUCAUCUAACAAAGUAAAAGGGACCACACACAUCCAGCCUCUGAAGGUGGCCAAUGUGCUGUGCUGUGCUGUGCUGUGCUUGCGUGCCUGCUACCUCACUUUAUCAUUUUUUUCCAGAACUUGUGCUUUCUUUUGUUCAUAGGUUCCGAAGAAAAAGUGAGGGAGAAAGGGUGGAAAAUGAUGCUUUGUCAUGAGAAAGGAUUUCGAUCGGUGUGUUGGGAAUAAUAUGCGAAGGGGACAAAGUCAAAAACGGCAUGUGGGUGACACCAAAGCCUAAAAAGCCCUCUUUCUAAUGUCUUGUCAUCUAAAUUAUAACUAACACGAGGAAAAAAGUGAGGAAAGGAUGAGAACGAAAGAAGGAAUCAUGAUUUGUGUGAAAUUGCUGUGGUUCUUGAAGGCUUUUAUCCAUGUUUAUUUUUCUUUGGUUUGAA